rnacentral:rRNA from 1 species
GAUGAACGCUGGCGGCGUGCCUAAUACAUGCGAGUCGAGCGAACAGACGAGGAGCUUACUCCUCUGACGUUAGCGGCGGACGGGUGAGUAACACGUGGAUAACCUACCUAUAAGACUGGGAUAACUUCGGGAAACCGGAGCUAAUACCGGAUAAUAUAUUGAACCGCAUGGUUCAAUAGUGAAAGACGGUUUUGCUGUCACUUAUAGAUGGAUCCGCGCCGCAUUAGCUAGUUGGUAAGGUAACGGCUUACCAAGGCAACGAUGCGUAGCCGACCUGAGAGGGUGAUCGGCCACACUGGAACUGAGACACGGUCCAGACUCCUACGGGAGGCAGCAGUAGGGAAUCUUCCGCAAUGGGCGAAAGCCUGACGGAGCAACGCCGCGUGAGUGAUGAAGGUCUUCGGAUCGUAAAACUCUGUUAUUAGGGAAGAACAAAUGUGUAAGUAACUAUGCACGUCUUGACGGUACCUAAUCAGAAAGCCACGGCUAACUACGUG